GACGGAGGAUGCAAGUGUUAUCCGGAAUCACUGGGCGUAAAGCGUCUGUAGGUGGUUUAAUAAGUCAACUGUUAAAUCUUGAGGCUCAACCUCAAAAUCGCAGUCGAAACUAUUAGGCUAGAGUAUAGUAGGGGUAAAGGGAAUUUCCAGUGGAGCGGUGAAAUGCGUAGAGAUCCGGAAGAACAUCGGUGGCGAAGGCGCUCUGCUGGACCAUAACUGACACUCAGGGACGAAAGCUAGGGGAGCGAAUGGG
rnacentral:rRNA from 1 species